GUCUAUAUAGGUUACGUCCUACAGUCAACAUUGAUCCGAUACCAACUUUGUCACGCCGGAUUUUAAGGGCAAACCCGGGCGCGAAUCAAAUGUGUGCUAGGAUCAAGUCUCACACACAUGAUGACACAUGGUACAGAAACGAAUGUCGAAUCUUUACUAUAUAUAUAGGAGUUAUGUACAAAAUAGCUAAAUCAUUACAUCAUAUGAAGACAACGAUCCUCCUCAACCAUAGUUGACUGGGAGACGACGACCUAGACCUCUCAUGAACUCAUCGCGACAUCCUUCAUGCUCCUCAUCUUUCCGGUACCUGUUCUUGACCUAGGGGUGAGUACAACAAGAGUGAGUUCAUAUAUUUUUAUCAUUCAACAAGUUGUGGGGAAUAAUGUGCAUGAGCUCACUUACGGUGGGGGCUCGUGUGAAGUGUAGGGAUUCCCAAAGAAAAUGGUUAAGGCUGGCAUUGCUUUUAACAAGUUGGUCAAAAUUUUAUUAGUAGUUACUAAAUAUAAGUAGAUACCAUCCCAAUUAAAUAAGAGAUCAUAAUUAUAAUAAAUCCCACAAUGCAAUGCAAAUGACAGAUUAAGUUUAGUUCCAUAAGUUACUCAUGUGAGGGCCCGAGCCGCUCAUGACCGUGAGCACGGCUGAUGUACCAGUUUUACACUCUAUAGAGGUUGCACAUCUUUACCCACAAGACAUGUUUGCCAUUUAGCAAGGGUUUGCAAGACCCUUAGACACUCCCAAGGUCAAUGGCUAGAUGAGAGAACCCGCUACGGAGUUCGUGUCGAAGGCGAUGUAGUAAUCCCUCGUUCGAAAAGCUAAAAAGGCAGUCCAACCUGAGGACCUCCCUACACCUGCACUCCUCCACCCCGCUUGCCCCUUUUGGGAAAGGAUUAACUCACACUAGCUUUCCUAAUUAUUCAGCCAAGGGCAUCCCAUUCCACCCUUUUAGUACCACUGUUUUCGCGGGUAGUGAAAGGGAAAUGUGCCUUUUGGCCAUUUCUAAGUAUUUUGGUGAUUAAGUGUCAACACAAAGUGCUUAAAUGUGAAUCUAUGCCCAUGGAUGAACAAAGUGCACAUCACAAGUAAAGGUAUGUUUCUAAGCCUUAGUACAUUGGUUUUGUGUACUAAUAUAUUUAUCUAAGUGUUAGAAACAGAAAGAAGAAGAAAAGGAGAUUGUUGGCUGUGUACAGCCAACAGGUUGUUUCGGUCUGGGGCACCGGACUGUCCGGUGGUGCACCGGACUGUCCGGUGGUGCACCGGACAGUGUCCGGUGCGCCAGGCUGCCUCGACCUGAAGACGCCGCUCUCGGGAAUUUGCCGACGGCGUACGGCUAAAAUUCACCGGACUGUCCGGUGUGCACCGGACUGUCCGGUGAGCCAACGGUCGGCCGAGCCAACGGUCGGCCGCGGAAUCUGUGCGCGACACGUGGUCUGGCCAACGGUCGGAAGGAGGCACCGGACUGUCCGGUGUGCACCGGACUGUCCGGUGCGCCAGAUCUGCAACGGUCGGCUGCGCUGUUUAAGGAAAUAAAUCGGGCACCGGACAGUGUCCGGUGUGCACCGGACUGUCCGGUGCGCCCGAUGACAGAAGGCAAGGAUGGCCUUCCAGAUUUGUUCUCAACGGCUCCUAGCUGCCUUGGGGCUAUAAAAGGGACCCCUAGGCGCAUGGAGGAGUACACCAAGCAACCUUAGAGCAUUCUUGAUCAUCCACACUCAGUCUUUGCGCAUUCGUUUGUCAUUCUAAGUGAUUCGAGCUCGUUCUAGUGUGAACUUUGAGAUAGUCUCUUUAGCUCGUUUCUUGGCCGUGUGUGUGCGCAUUUUGCUGUGGAUUUGUGUGUGUUGCUUCCCUCCCUUACUCCGUGCUUCUUUGUGAAAUUCAAUUGUAAGGGCGAGAGACUCCAAGUUGUGGAGAUUCCUCGCAAACGGGAAAAGAUCAAAGAAAAGAAGAACACCGUGGUAUUCAAGUUGAUCAUUGGAUCACUUGAGAGGAGUUGAGUGCAACUCUCGUCCGUUGGGACGCCACAACGUGGAGUAGGCAAGUUUUGUACUUUGCCGAACCACGGGAUAACCACCGUGUCAUCUCUGUGAUUGAUUUCUUGUGAUUAUUGUGUCUUGGCUCCUCUCUAGCCACUUGGCAAUUAUUGUGCUAACGAUUAACCAAGUUUUUGUGGCUAUAAGCUUAAGUUUUACAGGAUCACCUAUUCACCCCCCCCCCCUCUAGGUGCUCUCAAUUGGUAUCAGAGCCGUUCUCUUCAAGAAGGGACUAAUCGCCCGAAGAGAUGGAUCCUAAGGGAAAGGGGAUGGUGGUCGACAACAACGAGAAGGAGUCUAUCUUCAACGAGCCAAAGAAUGACAAGUCUACCGACUUGGGCUCAAGCCACAAGCGCAAAGACGGGAAGAAGAAGAAGACAAGGCGCAUCAAGGAGAUCGUCUACUACGACAGCGACGAAUCCUCUUCUUCCCAAAAGGAUGAUGACAACGACUACAGGAAGACGGUCAAUUCAAACUUUUCAUUUGAUUAUUCUCGUAUUCCACAUAGUUCGAAUUCGCAUUUGCUUUCCAUUCCUCUUGGUAAACCUCCACACUUUGAUGGGGAGGACUACGGAUUUUGGAGUCACAAAAUGCGUAGUCAUUUAUUCUCUCUCCAUCCAAGCAUAUGGGAGAUUGUAGAAAAUGGAAUGAAAUUUGAUAGCUCGGAUAGCCCUAUGUUUAUUAAUGAACAAAUUCAUAAAAAUGCACAAGCUACUACUGUGUUGCUAGCCUCUUUGUGCAGGGACGAGUACAAUAAGGUGAGCGGCUUGGACAAUGCCAAGCAGAUAUGGGACACCCUCAAGAUUUCUCACGAGGGGAACGACAUCACCAUGCUCACUAAAAUGGAGUUGGUGGAGGGCGAGCUUGGAAGGUUUGCAAUGAUAAGGGGCGAGGAGCCAACCCAAACAUACAACCGGCUCAAGACCCUUAUCAACAAAAUAAGGAGCUACGGAAGCACGCGAUGGACGGACCAUGACGUCGUCCGCCUAAUGCUAAGGUCAUUUACCGUUCUUGAUCCUCAUCUCGUGAACAAUAUUCGUGAGAAUCCCAGGUACACGAAGAUGACGCCCGAGGAGGUACUCGGAAAAUUCGUAAGCGGGCGGAUGAUGAGCAAGGAGGCAAGAUACGUGGACGACGCCUUGAAUGGACCGAUCAACGAGCCUCAACCUCUUGCUCUCAAGGCAACAAGAAGCAAGGAGGCGCUACCUAGCAGGGUGGCACAAAUUGAGGCGGCCGGACUUAAUGAUGAAGAGAUGGCUCUCAUCAUCAAACGCUUCAAGACGGUGCUAAAAGGUCACAAGGGGCAGCCAAGCAAGACCAAGACAAAGGGGAAACGCUCAUGCUUCAAGUGCGGUAAGAUUGGUCAUUUUAUCGCUAACUGCCCCGAUAACGAUAGUGACCAGGAACAUGGGAACAAGAGGGAAAAGAAGAAGAAUUACAAGAAGGCCAAGGGCGAGGCACAUAUCGGAAAGGAGUGGGAUUCGGAUUGCUCCUCCGACUCCGACAAUGAAGGACUCGCCGCCACCGCCUUCAACAAGUCAUCCCUCUUCCCCAACGAGCGUCACACAUGCCUUAUGGCAAGGGAGAAGAAGGUGAGUACUCGAAACUCCACUUAUGCUUCUUCUAGUGAUAAUGAGUCUAGUGAUGAUGAUGACAUAGACUAUUCAUGCUUAUUCAAGGGCUUAGAUAGAUCUAAGAUAGACAAAAUCAAUGAAUUGAUUGAUGCCUUGAAUGAUAAGAAUGUGCUUUUAGAAAAGCAAGAGGAUUUGUUGUAUGAAGAACAUGACAAGUUUGUAGAAGCACAAAAAUCACUUGCAUUAGAAAUUAAGAGAAAUGAAAUGCUUUCUUGUGAGUUGUCUACAUGUCAUGAUUCAAUUGCUAGUUUGAAGAGCAUAAAUGAUGAUUUAAAUGCUAAACUAGAAAAAUCUAGUAAAUCAACAUCUUGUGUAGAACAUGUUGAGAUUUGCACUAGGUGUAAGGAUUUCGAUGUUGAUGCCUGUAGUGAUCACUUGGUUUCAAUUUCUAAAUUGAAUGAUGAAGUGGCUAGUCUUAAUACUCAACUUAAGGCUAGCAAAAAUGAUUUCGAUAAACUAAAAUUUGCAAGGGAUGCCUACACCAUUGGUAGACAUCCCUCAAUUAAGGAUGGACUUGGCUUCAAAAGGGAAGCCAAGAACUUAACAAGCCAUAAGGCUCCCAUUCCUGCUAAGGAGAAAGGGAAGGCCCCUAUGGCUACUAGUGCUAAAAAGAACCAUGCCUUUUUUUAUCAUGAUAGGAAAAAUUCUAGAAAUGCUUUUAGAAGUUAUGAUGCUUUUGAUUCACAUGCUUAUGAUUCUUAUGCCAUGACUGCUUCUAGUUCUUCCUAUAUGCAUGGUAGAAGUAUGACUAGGAGAAAUGCUAUUCAUCACGUGCCUAGAAAGAAUACUAUUCAUGCUCCUAGGAAAGUAGUUAAUGAACCUUCUACAAUUUAUUGUGCUUUAAAUGCUUCCUUUGCUAUUUGUAGAAAGGAUAGGAAAAUAGUUGCUAAGAAGUUAGGGGCAAAAUGCAAGGGAGACAAAACUUGCAUUUGGGUCCCUAAGGAAAUUUGCACUAACCUUGUAGGACCCAACAAGAGUUGGGUACCUAAGUCCCAAGCCUAAAUUUGCCUUGCAGGUUUAUGCAUCCGGGGGUUCAAGCUGGAUUAUCGACAGCGGAUGCACAAACCAUCUGACGGGGGAGAAGAAGAUGUUCACUUCCUACGUCAAGAAUAAGGAUUCCCAAGAUUCAAUUAUAUUCGGUGAUGGGAAUCAAGGCAAGGUAAAAGGAUUAGGUAAAAUUGCAAUUUCUAAUGAGCAUUCUAUCUCUAAUGUAUUUUUAGUGGAGAGUCUUGGAUAUAAUUUGCUAUCUGUUAGUCAAUUAUGUCAUAUGGGAUAUAACUGUCUAUUUACAAAUGUAGAUGUGUCUGUCUUUAGAAGAAGUGAUGGUUCACUAGCUUUUAAGGGUGUAUUAGACGGCAAACUUUAUUUAGUUGAUUUUGCAAAAGAAGAGGCCGGUCUAGAUGCAUGCUUAAUAGCUAAGACUAGCAUGGGCUGGCUGUGGCAUCGCCGCUUAGCACAUGUGGGGAUGAAGAACCUUCACAAGCUUCUAAAGGGAGAACACGUGAUAGGUUUAACUAACGUGCAAUUCGAAAAAGAUAGACCUUGUGCAGCUUGUCAAGCAGGUAAACAAGUGGGAGGAGCGCAUCACAGCAAGAAUGUGAUGACUACUUCAAGACCCCUGGAGCUGCUGCAUAUGGACCUCUUCGGACCUGUCGCCUAUCUGAGCAUAGGAGGGAGUAAGUAUGGUCUAGUUAUCGUUGAUGACUUUUCCCGCUUUACUUGGGUGUUCUUUUUGCAGGAUAAGUCUGAAACCCAAGGAACCCUCAAGUGCUUCCUCAGGAGAGCUCAAAAUGAGUUUGAGCUCAAGGUGAAGAAGAUAAGGAGCGACAACGGGUCCGAGUUCAAGAACCUUCAAGUGGAGGAGUUCCUUGAGGAGGAAGGGAUCAAGCACGAGUUCUCCGCUCCCUACACACCCCAGCAAAAUGGUGUGGUAGAGAGGAAGAACAGGACGCUAAUCGAUAUGGCAAGGACGAUGCUUGGAGAGUUCAAGACCCCCGAGUGUUUCUGGUCGGAAGCCGUGAACACGGCUUGCCACGCCAUCAACAGGGUCUACCUUCAUCGCCUCCUCAAGAAGACUUCGUAUGAGCUACUAACCGGUAACAAACCCAAUGUAUCUUACUUUCGUGUAUUUGGGAGCAAGUGCUACAUUCUAGUGAAGAAGGGUAGAAAUUCUAAGUUUGCUCCCAAAGCUGUAGAAGGGUUUUUAUUAGGUUAUGACUCAAAUACAAAGGCGUAUAGAGUUUUCAACAAAUCAUCGGGUUUGGUUGAAAUCUCUAGCGACGUUGUAUUUGAUGAGACUAAUGGCUCUCCAAGAGAGCAAGUUGUUGAUUGUGAUGAUGUAGAUGAAGAAGAUGUUCCAACAGCCGCUAUACGAACCAUGGCGAUUGGAGAAGUGCGGCCACAGGAACAGGAUGAAUGAGAUCAACCUUCUUCCUCAACAACGGUGCAUCCCCCAACUCAAGACGAUGAACAGGUUCAUCAACAGGAGGCAUGUGAUCAAGGGGGAGCACAAGAUGAUCAUGUGAUGGAGGAAGAAGCGCAACCGGCACCUCCAACCCAAGUUCGAGCGAUGAUUCAAAGGAAUCAUCCCAUCGAUCAAAUUCUGGGUGAUAUCAGCAAGGGAGUAACUACUCGAUCUCGAUUAGUUAAUUUUUGUGAGCAUUACUCCUUUGUCUCUUCUAUUGAGCCUUUCAGGGUAGAGGAGGCCUUGCUAGAUCCGGAUUGGGUAUUGGCCAUGUAGGAGGAACUCAACAACUUCAAGCGCAAUGAAGUUUGGACACUGGUGCCUCGUCCCAAGCAAAAUGUUGUGGGAACCAAGCGGGUGUUCCGCAACAAACAGGACGAGCACGGGGUGGUGACAAGGAACAAGGCUCGACUUGUGGCAAAAGGUUAUGCCCAAGUCGCAGGUUUGGACUUUGAGGAGACUUUUGCUCCUGUGGCUAGGCUAGAGUCAAUUCGAAUCUUGCUAGCAUAUGCCGCUCACCAUUCUUUCAGGUUGUACCAAAUGGAUGUGAAGAGCGCUUUCCUCAACGGGCCAAUCAAGGAGGAGGUGUACGUGGAGCAACCCCCUGGCUUCGAGGAUGAACGGUACCCCGACCACGUGUGUAAGCUCUCUAAGGCGCUCUAUGGACUUAAGCAAGCCCCAUGAGCAUGGUAUGAAUGCCUUAGAGAUUUCUUAAUUGCUAAUGCUUUCAAGGUUGGGAAAGCCGAUCCAACUCUUUUUACUAAGACUUGUAAUGGUGAUUUGUUUGUGUGCCAAAUUUAUGUCGAUGACAUAAUAUUUGGUUCUACUAACCAAAAGUCUUGUGAAGAGUUUAGCAGGGUGAUGACGCAGAAAUUCGAGAUGUCGAUGAUGGGCGAGUUGAACUACUUCCUUGGGUUCCAAGUGAAGCAACUCAAGGACGGCACUUUCAUCUCCCAAACGAAGUACACGCAAGACUUGCUAAAGAGGUUUGGGAUGAAGGACGCCAAGCCCGCAAAGACGCCGAUGGGAACCGAUGGACACACAGACCUCAACAAAGGAGGUAAGUCCGUUGAUCAAAAAGCAUACCGGUCAAUGAUAGGGUCUUUACUUUAUUUAUGUGCUAGUAGACCGGAUAUUAUGCUUAGCGUAUGCAUGUGUGCUAGAUUUCAAUCCGAUCCUAAGGAAUGUCACUUAGUGGCGGUGAAGCGAAUUCUUAGAUAUUUAGUUGCUACGCCUUGCUUCGGGCUCUGGUAUCCAAAGGGGUCUACCUUUGACUUGGUUGGAUACUCAGACUUCGACUAUGCUGGAUGUAAGGUCGAUAGGAAGAGUACAUCGGGGACGUGCCAAUUCUUAGGAAGGUCCCUGGUGUCAUGGAAUUCUAAGAAACAAACCUCUGUUGCCCUAUCCACCGCUGAGGCCGAGUAUGUUGCCGCAGGACAGUGUUGCGCGCAACUACUUUGGAUGAGGCAAACCCUCCGGGACUUUGGCUACAAUCUGAGCAAAGUCCCACUCCUAUGUGAUAAUGAGAGUGCUAUCCGCAUGGCGGAAAAUCCUGUUGAACACAGCCGCACAAAACACAUAGACAUCCGGCAUCACUUUUUGAGAGACCACCAGCAAAAGGGAGAUAUCGAAGUGUUUCAUGUUAGCACCGAGAACCAGCUAGCCGAUAUCUUUACCAAGCCUCUAGAUGAGAAGACCUUUUGCAGGCUGCGUAGUGAGCUAAAUGUCUUAGAUUCGCGGAACUUGGAUUGAAUUGUAGCAUACAUGUGUUUAUGCCCUGGAUCAUGUUCCUUAUGCAUUUUGUUGCUUAUUGUGGUGCUCAAGUUGUACAAACACUCCCUGGACCUCACAAGUCCGUUGCAAAGUGAUGCACAUGUUUAGGGGGAGAUGUGUUGCAACUUGACCCUUUGAGACUAACCAUUUGCUUGAGUUUGCUUGAUUUAGUCUCGAAGGUGGAUUGAAAGGGAAAGGUGAACUUGGACCAUGCAAGACUUCCACUGCACUCCGAUGAGAGGGUAACUUAUUCCAAGUUCAUCUCUAUGACUUUAUUGCCUUUGUACUCUUAAUUGAAGAUUUUGGUGAGGCAAUGGGGUUAAGGGGCCAAGAUUGAUCCCGUUUUGGUGCUUGAUGCCAAAGGGGGAGAAAAUAAAGGCCAAAGCAAUAAAUGGAUCAGCUACCACUUGAGAGAUUUUGAAAAUAGUAAAAUAGAGCUUUUGGUUUGUUCAAAACUCUUGCAUUGUCUCUUUCGUCAAAAGUUGGCUUCUAGUGGGGAGAAGUAUUGAUUAUGGGAAAUAGGGGGAGUUUUUGAAAUCUUUGAUCAAUCUCUUUUGGAAUGACUCUCCCUAUGCUUCAACAUGUGUGUUUGACUUAGAGAUAGAGAUUUGAGUUUGAUUUGCAAAAACAAACCAAGUGGUGGCAAAGGAUGAUCCAUAUAUGCCAAAAAUGAAUCAAAAUAGAUUUGAGUUCUAUUUCAAGUGAUUUUGCACUUGUUCUAGUUGCUUUAUAUUGUGUUGGCAUAAAUCACCAAAAAGGGGGAGAUUGAAAGGGAAAUGUGCCUUUUGGCCAUUUCUAAGUAUUUUGGUGAUUAAGUGUCAACACAAAGUGCUUAAAUGUGAAUCUAUGCCCAUGGAUGAACAAAGUGCACAUCACAAGUAAAGGUAUGUUUCUAAGCCUUAGUACAUUGGUUUUGUGUACUAAUAUAUUUAUCUAAGUGUUAGAAACAGAAAGAAGAAGAAAAGGAGAUUGUUGGCUGUGUACAGCCAACAGGCUGUUUCGGUCUGGGGCACCGGACUGUCCGGUGGUGCACCGGACAGUGUCCGGUGCGCCAGGCUGCCUCGACCUGAAGACGCCGCUCUCGGGAAUUUGCCGACGGCGUACGGCUAAAAUUCACCGGACUGUCCGGUGUGCACCGGACUAUCCGGUGAGCCAACGGUCGACCGAGCCAACGGUCGGCCGCGGAAUCUGCGCGCGACACGUGGUCUGGCCAACGGUCGGAAGGAGGCACCGGACUGUCCGGUGUGCACCGGACUGUCCGGUGCGCCAGAUCUGCAACGGUCGGCUGCGCUGUUUAAGGAAAUAAAUCGGGCACCGGACAGUGUCCGGUGUGCACCGGACUGUCCGGUGCGCCCGAUGACAGAAGGCAAGGAUGGCCUUCCAGAUUUGUUCUCAACGGCUCCUAGCUGCCUUGGGGCUAUAAAAGGGACCCCUAGGCGCAUGGAGGAGUACACCAAGCAACCUUAGAGCAUUCUUGAUCAUCCACACUCAGUCUUUGCGCAUUCGUUUGUCAUUCUAAGUGAUUCGAGCUCGUUCUAGUGUGAACUUUGAGAUAGUCUCUUUAGCUCGUUUCUUGGCCGUGUGUGUGCGCAUUUUGCUGUGGAUUUGUGUGUGUUGCUUCCCUCCCUUACUCCGUGCUUCUUUGUGAAAUUCAAUUGUAAGGGCGAGAGACUCCAAGUUGUGGAGAUUCCUCGCAAACGGGAAAAGAUCAAAGAAAAGAAGAACACCGUGGUAUUCAAGUUGAUCAUUGGAUCACUUGAGAGGAGUUGAGUGCAACUCUUGUCCGUUGGGACGCCACAACGUGGAGUAGGCAAGUUUUGUACUUGGCCGAACCACGGGAUAACCACCGUGUCAUCUCUGUGAUUGAUUUCUUGUGAUUAUUGUGUCUUGGCUCCUCUCUAGCCACUUGGCAAUUAUUGUGCUAACGAUUAACCAAGUUUUUGUGGCUAUAAGCUUAAGUUUUACAGGAUCACCUAUUCACCCCCCCCUCUAGGUGCUCUCAGGUAGUCGCUCCAUAUUCCAAUUAACAUAAUAAUCUUAUCAUGAACAAUAAUCAAACCAACAAAAAUAAUGGAACAUGAGCAUAAUUUAGUAUAACAUUAAUCCCAAAACCAGGUAGAUCAAUAGCAAGUCUACCGAAUAGUUCAUUUGUUUGCAAGGUGUGGAGGGAACAAAACUAGGGUAACCUAUUAGGUCCCAUCAAAUUAACCUGAGCAUGGCAUAGUGAUUAACAAGAACAUUAUUAGGUAAAAAAGAGUGAUCAAAGGCACAACUUGCCUUAUACUUGAGAUUACAGAUACUUUACCAAGUUGGUCUUCAGGUUUCUCGUGACCUCUCUGCUACUCGUAGCAAUACAUACAAAUAGACAAGUAGUAUAUAAAAAUAACAUUACACAAAACAUGAGAACACACUGCGUAGGAAUAUUCUAUGCACCACUACGAGAUCGUAGGUUCGAGAAUCACUAAAUUCGGAUAUAAAACGAAAUAGUUAUGAGUUUUCUAAGUGUUUAGAAUUAUUUUAUACUUAGAAAACAAUUUCUGUAUUUAUUUUAAAGUCUCUCAUGACCUAAUGGAAGUGGAUAGUAUUUAAACAAAAGACAUGAUUUGUUUUAAAAAUAAUAGGGGUUGUUUUUAAUUAUCUUUAACAUAACCAGGACGACGAGUUUAUUUUAGUGAAACAUGAGGACUCUUCUGUAGAACGUACUCGGAUGAAGGGGUAUGAGCGCGCCACAGCCGGCCGAUCUAAUCUGAUUGGACAAGAUUAGAUCCAAACCCAUGUGAUCCGGCACGCUACCGUGGCCACUGGAUCCGAGAUCAACGGUCAAAAUUUAAGGAAACACGAUUCAAUCUGGAUCAUCCAGUCCACAUCCUCUCGGAUCUAAUCUCCCAUAGGGUGCACGGAGAUCUAAUCCUACCCGCCCGUCGGACGAUCAAUGAUCUGGCGCCAUCGUCCUUACUCUGCUGGAGAAACACGGCGGCAUUUCUUACCUCGUGGUGGCGCCCUGCUGAAGAUUCACAAUAUGUCGAGCCGAUGCACCAAACCCCGAUCCAAACGGUGCUAUGCAAAGAGAAGGACAAAGCGAAACAAAGAGGUGGGGAUCUCACUGAAGGCGGAGACAGGGACCGAGCUGCCCACGAUGAGAAGUGGAUCUGUGGUGGUGCUAGGUGACCGACGAGAAAUCACCGCCAACCCAUGGCUUCCCGUGCUCCGCGAUCUUCCGCAACGGCGAUGGCGAGAGGAUGCUAAGGUGCUGCUCGGCUCUAUUCCUUCCUCUUCUGCGACGGUGAUGGUGCACGGCUAGAUGGCGACGUAGUCACGGUGCUUGGUUUUAUGGCCCAGAGUCGAGUCUCGGUGGGUGCAAGGAUCCAAGCCGGUGUGCUAACCGACUCCUGGAAGUCUGCGCGAUUCCAUGGGCGUUCGCAACAACCCAGGGAAGAGGAGGCUUCU
rnacentral:lncRNA from 1 species